rnacentral:antisense_RNA from 1 species
GCGCGACAGCGCGUCCAUCAGGCCGUUCAU